rnacentral:misc_RNA from 1 species
CGCACAAUGCCCGAAACCGAGAGGCGACAGCCGAGCCAGCGUGGAAAAUACAUUGGGUAAUUCCGAACUGACAAACGUGCCACUGCGACGCGCGUGCACACGUGCUAGAAUCAGCGUGUUCUCUUCUCUUCUCUUCUCUUCUCUUUUCUUCUCUUCUCUUCCCAUCUGUCUCGUUCUUUCGCGAACCCCAACGUUGUCACGUAGCUGUAAUAUUUUGUUCUAUCGAGCUUUGGUCGGGCACUCGCAGGAGAAGUUGAAAUAUUUGUCGGAGCGUUUGAUGUGCUUCAAAGCUCCGCUGCUGAAACUACGUAUUGACGAAGUUGGCAUAGCGUUGGUCGAUAUAAACGAGAUUGAUAAUAAUUGCAAGUGAACGAAGAUUAGUCUACAGGGACGUGUGAUUUGACAGAUUUUUAAUAUGUUAACGUUAGGAUCUUACGGCGAUCGAAGUAUACGCUUCUAGCUACGUUCCAAAAGUUUACAUAGAUCUUAUUUGUUUGUUUUUUUUAUUUAAGUCUUUUCAGUCUCAAUUUGUCCAAUUUGGACAUUUGGUAGAAUUCCAUAGAUCUUAUGAAAUGCGAAUUAUUCGUUACAAAUAUACAUGAAAUUUUUCAGUGACGAAGAUAUACGUAUUCCCCGUUUCAGUUUACAUUUAACAGAGCAUUUGAUAUCAGUUAUGGCAAGAAGUGAAGGAUUAACAGUGCAGAAAAAUAUUCUUCUAUUCCAACGCUGAAAGAUUUAUACCAUUUUAUCGAAUUGUACGUGAUGCAUUUUGUAGUAAUAGAACGAAAUAGGUCAUACGUGAUUCGGUAAAAUAAAUAUAAAACGAAGAAUGUUACGCAUCUGUUAUUUCCUUGGAACUACCUAAUAUCAAUCUUCUUUUUUGCAUCUCCUUAACUGGAAACUCAUUCAACGACUUACCGUUUUAAACUCGUUUUGGUAGAAUCUUCCGUUUGAAGUAAUUAAAAAAGAAAACAAGUAGAA